AGAGUUUGAUCAUGGCUCAGGAUGAACGCUAGCGGGAGGCCUAACACAUGCAAGCCGAGCGGUAGAGAUUCUACGGAAUCUUGAGAGCGGCGUACGGGUGCGGAACACGUGUGCAACCUACCUUUAUCUGGAGGAUAGCCUUUCGAAAGGAAGAUUAAUACUCCAUAAUAUAUUGAUUGGCAUCAAUUGAUAUUGAAAGCUCCGGCGGAUAGAGAUGGGCACGCGCAAGAUUAGUUAGUUGGUGAGGUGACGGCUCACCAAGACGAUGAUCUUUAGGGGCCUGAGAGGGUGAUCCCCCACACUGGUACUGAGACACGGACCAGACUCCUACGGGAGGCAGCAGUGAGGAAUAUUGGUCAAUGGGUGCAAGCCUGAACCAGCCAUCCCGCGUGAAGGACGACUGCCCUAUGGGUUGUAAACUUCUUUUGUAUAGGGAUAAACCUACCCUCGUGAGGGUAGCUGAAGGUACUAUACGAAUAAGCACCGGCUAACUCCGUG
rnacentral:rRNA from 1 species